AUUGAACGCUGGCGGCAUGCCUUACACAUGCAAGUCGAACGGCAGCACGGGUGCUUGCACCUGGUGGCGAGUGGCGAACGGGUGAGUAAUACAUCGGAACGUACCUUAUCGUGGGGGAUAACGCAGCGAAAGCUGUGCUAAUACCGCAUACGCCCUGAGGGGGAAAGCGGGGGAUCGCAAGACCUCGCGCGAUUAGAGCGGCCGAUGCCUGAUUAGCUAGUUGGUGGAGUAAAAGCCCACCAAGGCGACGAUCAGUAGCUGGUCUGAGAGGACGAUCAGCCACGCUGGGACUGAGACACGGCGCAGACUCCUACGGGAGGCAGCAGUGGGGAAUUUUGGACGAUGGGGGCAACCCUGCUCCAGCAAUGCCGCGUGAGUGAAGAAGGCCUUCGGGUUGUAAAGCUCUUUUGUCAGGGAAGAAACACCGGCUCUAACACAGUCCGGGAAUGACGGUACCUGAAGAAUAAGCACCGGCUAACUACGUGCCAGCCGCCGCGGUAA
rnacentral:rRNA from 1 species